UACAGAGGUCUCAAGCGUUGUUCGGAUUCAUUGGGCGUAAAGGGUGCGUAGGCGGCGCGGUAAGUCGGGUGUGAAAUUUCGAGGCUUAACUUCGAAACUGCAUUCGAUACUGCCGUGCUUGAGGACUGGAGAGGAGACUGGAAUUUACGGUGUAGCGGUGAAAUGCUUAGAUAUCGUCAAGAACACCGAUAGCGAAGGCAGCUUACUGGGCUGUAACUGACGCUGAGGCACGAAAGUGUGGGGAUCAAACGGG
rnacentral:rRNA from 1 species